UACGGAGGGUGCUAGCGUUGUUCGGAAUUACUGGGCGUAAAGGGCGUGUAGGCGGUCCGUUAUGUCUGAUGUGAAAGCCCGGGGCUCACCCCCGGAAGUGCAUUGGAAACUGACGGACUCGAGUCCCGGAGAGGAGGGUGGAAUUCCUGGUGUAGCGGUGAAAUGCGUGGAUAUCAGGAGGAACAUCGGAGGCGAAGGCGGCCCUCUGGACGGUGACUGGCGCUGAGACGCGAAAGCGUGGGGAGCAAACAGG
rnacentral:rRNA from 1 species